rnacentral:rRNA from 1 species
UAGGGAAUCUUCCGCAAUGGACGCAAGUCUGACGGAGCAACGCCGCGUGAGUGAAGAAGGUUUUCGGAUCGUAAAACUCUGUUGUAAGAGAAGAACAAAUUGUAGAGUAACUGCUACAGUCUUGACGGUAUCUUACCAGAAAGCCACGGCUAACUACGUGCCAGCAGCCGCGGUAAUACGUAGGUGGCAAGCGUUGUCCGGAUUUAUUGGGCGUAAAGGGGGCGCAGGCUGCUUCUUAAGUCUGAUGUGAAAGCCCACGGCUUAACCGUGGAAGUGCAUUGGAAACUGGGAAGCUUGAGUACAGAAGAGGAAAGUGGAACUCCAUGUGUAGCGGUGGAAUGCGUAGAUAUUAAAAAGAAUACCGGUGGCGAAGGCGACUUACUGGGCUCAUUCUGACGCUGAGGAACGAAAGCGUGGGUAGCAAACAGG